rnacentral:lncRNA from 1 species
AUUCUUGGUGAUGUUCAAGAUGAUAAUUUCUUCUCUUUUGAGAAAUGCGAUUAUUUUUACUUCCUUUGCAAAAACGCAAGCUAACAAAAUGUUACAUUAUUUUACAACAUGGAAGCUAACAAUUUGAGAUGUUCAAGAAGCAAGUUCUUUCUUCUCUUUUGAGAAGUGCAAUUUUUGCUUUCUUCUUGAAUUGUGCGAGCUAG